rnacentral:rRNA from 1 species
CGUUCCCGGGCCUUGUACACACCGCCCGUCAAGCCAUGGAAGCUGGGGGUACCCGAAGUCCGUGACCCGACCCCGCAAGGGGAGGGAGCGGCCGAAGGUAAACUCAGUGACUGGGGCU